UACAGAGGGUGCAAGCGUUAAUCGGAAUUACUGGGCGUAAAGCGUGCGUAGACGGUCAUGUAAGUCGGGUGUGAAAGCCCCGGGCUCAACCUGGGAACCGCGCUUGAGACUGGCAUGCUCGAGUUCGGGAGAGGAUGGUGGAAUUCCCAGUGUAGAGGUGAAAUUCGUAGAUAUUGGGAAGAACACCGAUGGCGAAGGCAGCCAUCUGGACCGACACUGACGCUGAGGCGCGAAAGCGUGGGGAGCAAACAGG
rnacentral:rRNA from 1 species